CCCCUUUUUAUCUCCUUCGCAACCGCCCCUUCACCUCUCUUCAUCUGCCGUUCCUCAACACCGACACGACUCUCCCUCUUCCCGUCUCCCUCUCUCUUUGAAAACGCCCAAAUCCCUUUAUUACCUCCGUUAUCCUUGCUUAUCCCUGCCCCUCUCCCUCUUCCCGUCUCUAAAUUAUUUCGACGUUCAGAAUUCCGUCAGUUUCCCUCUACCUCUCACGUGCUCUCCCCUUCCAUUUGGUGAUUCUAUAAAUACCUUCCGCUGCAAUUUUGAUAGAACAACGAAGGGGUUUUCUUCCAAUUGUGACCGGGAUUGAUUGGAGGAGUAGAAAGCUGUCAAUCAAGAAAUCCUGAAUCCGCCACUGUUGUGCAUCACUGAAGACAUGAGCACUGGAGCCUUAAUUUGAAUGUAACUGCAAGUUUGAGAGCCUCAUGGAUACCAUGAUCGAGCCUUGAUGAUGGUGGAAGAGGACAUCCAAUUAGACAUGCACGGUGUAAGUGAGGUUAUCUUGAAGAUCCAUCUAACAUAAGGACGGAUCCAUUAAGAGAAGAGUGGGGGCAUGCUCCCCUACAUGAUUUUAAAUUUGUUAAUAUUUUUUUAUAUAGAGACAUGCAUCUACAUUAUUUAUGAGACAUGCAUGCUGAUGAGCGUGGUUUCCACCUUGAUUCGGGAUUUAGCUCUUCUUCGCAUGCUGGCAAUAGACGAAGAUAGCAGGAUGACAAGAUGUUAAUUCCUCAACUCGAUCGUCUCUAAGAAGAACGAAACAAAAAAUGCUACUAGUCUCUAACAAGUCAAGGGAUUGUGUUACAGCGAUACAAUUAAUCUCCAAAUUAAAGGUUGCUUAAUUAAUUAAAUUAAAGAGGUUGGAGCAUUUCCCA